rnacentral:rRNA from 1 species
AUUGAACGCUGGCGGCAGGCCUAACACAUGCAAGUCGAAUGGUAACAGGAAACAGCUUGCUGUUUCUCUGACGAGUGGCGGACGGGUGAGUAAUGUCUGGGAAACUGCCUGAUGGAGGGGGAUAACUACUGGAAACGGUAGCUAAUACCGCAUAACGUCGCAAGCCCAAAGAGGGGGACCUUCGGGCCUCUUGCCAUCAGAUGUGCCCAGAUGGGAUUAGCUAGUAGGUGGGGUAACGGCUCACCUAGGCGACGAUCCGUAGCUGGUCUGAGAGGAUGACCAGCCACACUGGAACUGAGACACGGUCCAGACUCCUACGGGAGGCAGCAGUGGGGAAUAUUGCACAAUGGGCGCAAGCCUGAUGCAGCCAUGCCGCGUGUAUGAAGAAGGCCUUCGGGUUGUAAAGUACUUUCAGCGGGGAGGAAGGGAGUAAAGUUAAGACCUUUGCUCAUUGACGUUACCCGCAGAAGAAGCACCGGCUAACUCCGUG